rnacentral:rRNA from 1 species
AGAGUUUGAUCAUGGCUCAGAUUGAACGCUGGCGGAAUGCUUUACACAUGCAAGUCGAACGAUGAACCUUAGCUUGCUAGGGGGAUUAGUGGCGAACGGGUGAGUAAUAUAUCGGAACGUGCCUUGUAAUGGGGGAUAACUAGUCGAAAGAUUAGCUAAUACCGCAUACGCCCUGAGGGGGAAAGUAGGGGAUCUUCGGACCUUACGUUAUAAGAGCGGCCGAUAUCUGAUUAGCUAGUUGGUGGGGUAAUGGCCUACCAAGGCUUCGAUCAGUAGCUGGUCUGAGAGGACGACCAGCCACACUGGAACUGAGACACGGUCCAGACUCCUACGGGAGGCAGCAGUGGGGAAUUUUGGACAAUGGGCGAAAGCCUGAUCCAGCCAUUCCGCGUGAGUGAAGAAGGCCUUCGGGUUGUAAAGCUCUUUCGCAAGGGAAGAAAACUUACAUUCUAAUAAAGAGUGAGGCUGACGGUACCUUGAUAAGAAGCACCGGCUAACUACGUGCCAGCAGCCGCGGUAAUACGUAGGGUGCGAGCGUUAAUCGGAAUUACUGGGCGUAAAGCGUGCGCAGGCGGUUUGGCAAGUCAGAUGUGAAAUCCCCGAGCUCAACUUGGGAACUGCGUUUGAAACUGCCAGACUAGAAUAUGUCAGAGGGGGGUAGAAUUCCACGUGUAGCAGUGAAAUGCGUAGAGAUGUGGAG